rnacentral:rRNA from 1 species
CGGACGGGUGAGUAACGCGUGAGAAUCUAGCUUCAGGUUCGGGACAACAUUGGGAAACCGAUGCUAAUACCGGAUGUGCCGUGAGGUGAAAGGCUUGCUGCCUGAAGAUGAGCUCGCGUCUGAUUAGCUAGUUGGUAGUGUAAGGGACUACCAAGGCGACGAUCAGUAGCUGGUCUGAGAGGAUGAUCAGCCACACUGGAACUGAGACACGGUCCAGACUCCUACGGGAGGCAGCAGUGGGGAAUUUUCCGCAAUGGGCGAAAGCCUGACGGAGCAAUACCGCGUGAGGGAGGAAGGCUCUUGGGUUGUAAACCUCUUUUCUCAAGGAAGAAGUUCUGACGGUACUUGAGGAAUCAGCAUCGGCUAACUCCGUGCCAGCAGCCGCGGUAAUACGGAGGAUGCAAGCGUUAUCCGGAAUGAUUGGGCGUAAAGCGUCCGCAGGUGGUUGUGUGUGUCUAUUGUCAAAGCAUCAUGCUUAACAUGAUAAGGGCAGUGGAAACUACACAACUAGAGUGCGUUCGGGGCAGAGGGAAUUCCUGGUGUAGCGGUGAAAUGCGUAGAGAUCAGGAAGAACACCGGUGGCGAAAGCGCUCUGCUAGGCCGUAACUGACACUGAGGGACGAAAGCUAGGGGAGCGAAUGGGAUUAGAUACCCCAGUAGUC